rnacentral:rRNA from 1 species
AACGAACGCUGGCGGCAUGCCUAACACAUGCAAGUCGAACGAUGCCUCCGGGCAUAGUGGCGCACGGGUGCGUAACGCGUGGGAAUCUGCCCUUGGGUUCGGAAUAACUCGCCGAAAGGCGAGCUAAUACCGGAUGAUGACGUAAGUCCAAAGAUUUAUCGCCCAAGGAUGAGCCCGCGUAGGAUUAGCUAGUUGGUGGGGUAAAGGCCCACCAAGGCGACGAUCCUUAGCUGGUCUGAGAGGAUGAUCAGCCACACUGGGACUGAGACACGGCCCAGACUCCUACGGGAUGCAGGAGUGGGGAAUAUUGGACAAUGGGGGAAAUGCUGAUCCAGCAAUGCCGGGUGAGUGAUGAAGGCCUUAGGGUUGUAAAGCUCUUUUACCCGGGAUGAUAAUGACAGUACCGGGAGAAUAAGCUCCGGCUAACUCCGUG